AGUUCCCUAUUAUGGAAUUUCAAUGUAUAAAAUAUACGUAAUCGCACAAAUAAUGACAAAAGGUAAUCAAGGGGGAGAUUACUACAUGGAUGCUAUUAAGGCCAGCUGGUUUUUAAGUUGUCUGGGAACUUGAAGCGAAAGUGUAUUAUCUACUGAAGGCAUUUUCUAAUUGUUCAAUGUAAUAUGCAAACUGUUCAUACGAAACAUUAAGAUUGCCAUAAGAUAAAGUUUCAGAAUUGUGGGCUUGGAAACGACAAUAAUGUAGUUCUAGAAUUUCUGCCACAUGCAUUUGUAUAUUCACAGCAUAUCUGAGAAGACUGUUUUAAGCAUGCAUCCACUGAGUAUCCACAUAUUUAUCGGCAUUAUGAGAUGGUUGGGAAUUAUUAAUUAUGGUGGGGAUGUUGUACCUCUCACUUAAAUUGGAGAUAUCUUCAUUAGCAGAUAAGAAUUGUGGUGUGAUCAGAUGAUUAAAAGAGGACUUGCGUUUGUGGUGUAUUUAUUUUUAAUGUUGUCGGUUCAGUAGAUAAGGGAAAAGUGAAGAGUGUUGUCUGUGAUUUUGAAAAUGAAAAGACAGGUCGGUAGAGAGCGGUGAAACGGUUGUGUCGAAAGGGUUCUUAGAAGGUACUCGAAAUCUUCGAAGGAUAAGAAUUAUUGGGAAGGGCGAACAAAAGAUAGGUUUUACGACAUGCAGGUGUACGAAGAGAAAGUUUCAGGAUGAUAGUGGUUGGAAGUCAAUAAAUACAGACUAUACAAAUAUUACAUGUUGCACAAUUUUGUGGGAUUUGUUAGCCCCCACAAAAUGUUGCUAAAUCAAAAGCACAAUUACCAGUUGGGUUGUGCUGCAUAUAUUUUAUACAGAACAAUAGCUUGUAUUUGGUUAUAUUCUAAUAAAGUGUGAUGUAAAUAACUAUUAAUAA